AGUGAAUAGAUACCCGGGUAGUCCACGCCCUAAACGAUGUCAACUAGGUGUUGGGUGGGUAAAACCAUUUAGUACCGUAGCUAAACGCGUGAAAGUUGACCGCCUGGGGAGUACGGCCGCAAGGUUAAAACUCAAAGGAAUUGACGGGGACCCGCACAAGCGGUGGAUGAUGUGGAUUAAUUCGAUGCAACGCGAAAAACCUUACCUACCCUUGACAUGCCAGGAACUUGCCAGAGAUGGCUUGGUGCCCGAAAGGGAGCUUGGACACAGGUGCUGCAUGGCUGUCGUCAGCUCGUGUCGUGAGAUGUUGGGUUAAGUCCCGCAACGAGCGCAACCCUUGUCGUUAAUUGCCAUCAUUUGGUUGGGCACUUUAACGAGACUGCCGGUGACAAACCGGAGGAAGGUGGGGAUGACGUCAAGUCCUCAUGGCCCUUAUGGGUAGGGCUUCACACGUCAUACAAUGGUCGGUACAGAGGGUUGCCAAGCCGCGAGGCGGAGCCAAUCCCAGAAAGCCGAUCGUAGUCCGGAUUGCAGGCUGCAACUCGCCUGC
rnacentral:rRNA from 1 species